rnacentral:rRNA from 1 species
GAUGAACGCUGGCGGCGUGCCUAAUACAUGCAAGUCGAGCGAACGGACGAGAAGCUUGCUUCUCUGAUGUUAGCGGCGGACGGGUGAGUAACACGUGGAUAACCUACCUAUAAGACUGGGAUAACUUCGGGAAACCGGAGCUAAUACCGGAUAAUAUUUUGAACCGCAUGGUUCAAAAGUGAAAGACGGUCUUGCUGUCACUUAUAGAUGGAUCCGCGCUGCAUUAGCUAGUUGGUAAGGUAACGGCUUACCAAGGCAACGAUGCAUAGCCGACCUGAGAGGGUGAUCGGCCACACUGGAACUGAGACACGGUCCAGACUCCUACGGGAGGCAGCAGUAGGGAAUCUUCCGCAAUGGGCGAAAGCCUGACGGAGCAACGCCGCGUGAGUGAUGAAGGUCUUCGGAUCGUAAAACUCUGUUAUUAGGGAAGAACAUAUGUGUAAGUAACUGUGCACAUCUUGACGGUACCUAAUCAGAAAGCCACGGCUAACUACGUGCCAGCAGCCGCGGUAAUACGUAGGUGGCAAGCGUUAUCCGGAAUUAUUGGGCGUAAAGCGCGCGUAGGCGGUUUUUUAAGUCUGAUGUGAAAGCCCACGGCUCAACCGUGGAGGGUCAUUGGAAACUGGAAAACUUGAGUGCAGAAGAGGAAAGUGGAAUUCCAUGUGUAGCGGUGAAAUGCGCAGAGAUAUGGAGGAACACCAGUGGCGAAGGCGACUUUCUGGUCUGUAACUGACGCUGAUGUGCGAAAGCGUGGGGAUCAAACAGGAUUAGAUACCCUGGUAGUCCACGCCGUAAACGAUGAGUGCUAAGUGUUAGGGGGUUUCCGCCCCUUAGUGCUGCAGCUAACGCAUUAAGCACUCCGCCUGGGGAGUACGACCGCAAGGUUGAAACUCAAAGGAAUUGACGGGGACCCGCACAAGCGGUGGAGCAUGUGGUUUAAUUCGAAGCAACGCGAAGAACCUUACCAAAUCUUGACAUCCUUUGACAACUCUAGAGAUAGAGCCUUCCCCUUCGGGGGACAAAGUGACAGGUGGUGCAUGGUUGUCGUCAGCUCGUGUCGUGAGAUGUUGGGUUAAGUCCCGCGACGAGCGCAACCCUUAAGCUUAGUUGCCAUCAUUAAGUUGGGCACUCUAAGUUGACUGCCGGUGACAAACCGGAGGAAGGUGGGGAUGACGUCAAAUCAUCAUGCCCCUUAUGAUUUGGGCUACACACGUGCUACAAUGGACAAUACAAAGGGCAGCGAAACCGCGAGGUCAAGCAAAUCCCAUAAAGUUGUUCUCAGUUCGGAUUGUAGUCUGCAACUCGACUACAUGAAGCUGGAAUCGCUAGUAAUCGUAGAUCAGCAUGCUACGGUGAAUACGUUCUCGGGUCU